rnacentral:rRNA from 1 species
GACGAACGCUGGCUGCGUGCUUAACACAUGCAAGUCGAACGCUGAAGCCCGCAGCUUGCAGUGGGUGGAUGAGUGGCGAACGGGUGAGUAACACGUGAGUAACCUGCCCCUGACUUCGGGAUAAGCCCGGGAAACUGGGUCUAAUACCGGAUACGACCAUCGGACGCAUGUCUGGUGGUGGAAAGUUUUUUCGGUUGGGGAUGGGCUCGCGGCCUAUCAGUUUGUUGGUGAGGUAAUGGCUCACCAAGACGACGACGGGUAGCCGGCCAGAGAGGGCGACCGGCCACACUGGGACUGAGACGCGGCCCAGACUCCUACGGGAGGCAGCAGUGGGGAAUAUUGCACAAUGGGGGAAACCCUGAUGCAGCGACGCAGCGUGCGGGAUGACGGCCUUCGGGUUGUAAACCGCUUUCAGCAGGGAAGAAGCGAAAGUGACGGUACCUGCAGAAGAAGUACCGGCUAACUACGUGCCAGCCGCCGCGGUAA